ACAGUAGUCGCCCGGGUUGCCGCAAGGCCUCCCGGGUAACCUACCACCCUUUGUUUAUUACACUUUGUUGCUUUGGCAAGCCUGCCCUCGGGCUGCUGGCUCCGGCCGGCGAGCGCUUGCCAGAGGACCUAAACUCUGUUUGUCUAUACUGUCUGAGUACUAUAUAAUAGUUAAAACUUUCAACAACGGAUCUCUUGGUUCUGGCAUCGAUGAAGAACGCAGCGAAAUGCGAUAAUUAAUGUGAAUUGCAGAAUUUAGUGAAUCAUCGAAUCUUUGAACGCACAUUGCGCCCCUUGGUAUUCCGGGGGGCAUGCCUGUUCGAGCGUCAUUUCAACCCUCAAGCUCUGCUUGGUCUUGGGCCGCGCCGGCAACGGCGGGCCUCAAAAACAGUGGCGGCGCCAUCGUGUCCCUCAGCGUAGUAAUUCUCCUCGCUGUUGGGCCCCGGUGGCCGCUGGCCAGCAACCCCCAAUUUUCUAUGGUUGACCUCGGAUCAGGUAGGGAUACCCGCUGAACUUAA
rnacentral:rRNA from 1 species